UACGUAGGGGGCAAGCGUUGUCCGGAAUCACUGGGCGUAAAGCGCGCGCAGGCGGUCAUCUACGUCUGGGGUGAAAGCCCGGAGCUCAACUCCGGGAUUGCCUUGGAUACGGGAUAACUUGAGGAUCGGAGAGGCAAGGGGAAUUCCAGGUGUAGCGGUGAAAUGCGUAGAUAUCUGGAGGAAUACCGGUGGCGAAGGCGGCAUCCUGGACCGACAUUGACGCUGAUGAGCGAAAGCUAGGGGAGCAAACGGG
rnacentral:rRNA from 1 species